CUCGAGGCUGAAGUUUAUGUCCGCUUCGACUCCGCGGAAUUUAAUGGCGGCUCUAUCGUAUGCACUGGAAUUGAUUCGGAGAAGAAUUGGAUUUGAGCAAUCAAUCGGAUUAAGGUAUGGAGAAGCGCAAAGGAAGAAGAUGAAAUUUACAGACCUAAGUAGACUUGCUUUCCGCAGUCCCUGCGAGAAUCGAGAAGCGAAAAAGGAAGAAGAUGAAUUGCAUGUUUGAGGAAGAAAACAAAACAAACAUAAAAACAUAAAAAAAUUAAGGAACGGAAACCAAACACGCCUUUAGGGGAAUUACGAUUAAUUAAUAAUUAAAAGCGGGUUUUGCAGGAAGAUAUUUUUACCAUAUGUGCGAUUCCCAACGGCCAGUCCGCCGGUAAAACGUGACUCCUCGGUACUGCGAGCUCCGGGACCUCGGUCCACGCCGGCUCUUUUUAAGCGGCUGCGCCACUUCGCCGCCGCCGCCCAGCGCCUUCACCAAUCCACCAGUUCCGCCGCCGUCGGGAUCGGAGUGGCGGAAUUGGACUCCGAACCAGUGAGCUCUGGGGAAAUUCGGAAGUCCGGCGGACAUUUCCGAAUCG